UAUCGGCUUAAUUAAACCUUGUUUCGAAACCUUAGUUCGACUAGACAUGCACUACAUUAAACUGUGAAUCUCCAUCUUGCGGAGCUGGAACAAGCUAAAUGUUCGAGGACAAGUAAAUUUCACAAACAGCCCAAUGCAAUCAUACAUUAGUGUUUUCACAGAAACUUUCCAAUCAUUCUGGAAUAAAGGAAGUUAAAGGACAUUAUUUUCCAGAUUGAAUGCUCGUUACAGUCCGAUGCCGAAUCAAAUUCAAAGCCAUUGGUUUCAGUACUUCUGCAGUUGCCAGCGUUUCAGAAGUAUUCCUUGGAGAAAUCCCAACUCUGGAGGAUGAAGAAAAACUCGUGAAAAACACAGAAGCCAAUAAACAACAAUGCGUAAAUGCAUUACCCAAAUGCAUUGUAGCUGACUACAAUUCUUAUCGCCCUCUGCUUCAAUGGUGUGUGAAUUCGAGAGCCAUUGCAGAAGGAAAACAGUUACACGCACACACCAUUGUAUCAGGAUUUGUAUAUCUUCCCUUCAUAUCAAACAAUCUUGUAAAUAUGUAUGCCAAAUGCGGAAUCAUUGAGGAUGCACGUAAAAUGUUUGACAAAAUGUUUCCUCGACAGCCAAUCACAUGGACCACCAUGGUUACUGGUUAUGCUCAGAAUGGGCCUGAGGAGGAAGCACUGAAGCUUUUCGCGCGGAUGCAGCGAGCAGCAAUGAAAUUGAACAAUUAUACUUUUCCUAGCGUUCUGAAGGCGAGCGCCGCAAUUAGGGCACUGCAAGAGGGGAUGCAGAUUCAUUCUUGUAUCCUGAAGACUGGGUAUUAUUUGGAUAUCUUUACAGGCAGUGCGCUUGUUGAUAUGUAUGCUAAGUGUCGAGUUGUCGACGAUGCGAAAAAAGUGUUUGACGAAAUGCCUGAACGAAAUGUUGUUUCAUGGAGCGGGUUGAUUACAGGCUGUGCUUUAAAUGGACAGAAUGAGGAAGCUUUAAUACUUUUUCGGCAAGCACUGGUUGAUGGAGUGAAACCCAAUGAUUAUACGUUUUCGACUAUAUAUUCAGUUUGUGCAAAUGUCACUAUUCUUGAUUAUGGUAGGCAGAUACAUUGUCUUGGUGUAAAAUCUGGUUAUGAUGUGUACAGCUUUGUUGGUAGUUCUCUUGUUGGCAUGUAUGCAAAGUGUGGGUGUAUUGAAGAUGCACGCCAAGUGUUUGACAAAUUGCCAAAACGAAAUCUGGCAGCAUGGAAUGCAAUGAUUAUAGCAUGUGGACAACAUGGGAAGGCGGAGGAAGCCCUUGGGCUCUUCUCGCAGUUUGAGAUUUCGGGCAUGAUUCCCAAUGAUAUCACAUUUCUUUGUGUUCUUUCUGUUUGUAGCCAUGCAGGCCUAGUGGAUGAAGGUCAACGUUUUUUUGAUUCUAUGACUCGAGACUAUUGCAUUUCACCAAGGCCAGAGCAUUAUUCCUGCAUAGUUGAUCUUCUUGGUCGCUCUGGGCACUUGCAGGAGGCAGACGAGUUCAUCAAACAAAUGCCAAUGGAACCGAUUGCAUCUGUGUGGGGUGCCUUGCUUGGUGCUUGCAGAAUGCAUGGCAAUAUGGAGUUAGGUAAGUUAGCUGCAGAAAAAUUAUCUGAAAUGGAUCCAUACAACGCCGGAGCUCGUGUCCUGCUGUCUAAUAUCUAUGCAGCAGCUGGAAGGUGGGAUGAUGUUGCAAAAGUAAGGAAAAUGAUGAGAGACCGCGGUCUGAAAAAAGAGACAGGGCUUAGCUGGAUUGGAUUAAAAAGCAAAGUGCAUGCUUUUGUUUCGGAUGAUGACACACACCCUCAAAUAGAGGAAAUCUAUGCAAAGUUGAAGACAUUAAAUGAUCAGAUGGAAGCGGCAGGAUAUGUGCCUGACACAAGGUUUGUGCUUCAUGAUGUGGAAGAGGAGCAGAAAGAAGUCCUCCUUGGCUUUCACAGUGAGAAGAUAGCACUUGCAUUUGGGCUUAUGAGCACACCAAUAGAUACAACCAUAAGAAUUAUGAAAAAUCUUCGUGUAUGUGGUGACUGCCACAAUGCAAUCAAGUUCAUCUCUAAGCUUGUUAAAAGAGAAAUUAUAGUAAGGGAUACACAUCGUUUUCAUCAUUUCAAGGAUGGAGUGUGCUCCUGUAGAGAUUAUUGGUGAAAUGAAAAUCAAACUUCUGUGAUCUUUUGAUGGUAAGAUAUAUAAGUGACAAAGGGAAUAUGAAUCAUUGGAGUGACUUAAUGAACAAUUCACAGAUACUCAUUUUGUGCCAAAGCAGCUUCUUGUCAUGCAUGCUUCAGAUCUCUUUCACUCUCUUGCUAAGCAGCUUCAGCAUAACCAAGCCCAACAUCUAAGGAAUAUCCUUCAAUCCUCUGUUUCUGCAUCUGAGAUCAAACCUGACAUGAUAACUCACAGUAGAUGUGAGUUCAGUGGCCUUGCCUGCAGCUCUUCAGGUUCUCUCUACUUAGUUAUAAAUGGCAGUAUAAGUUUCGUGGGAAUGCUAGAAUGGCUUGAAGAGAGGAAAGUGUACCAACCAAGAGAGAUUUCCUUUAUUAUGCAGGAUCCUGGAAGCCCUACAAGAUCGUUUAGCUGGCUGCAUGUGCUAGUGCUGGCAUAUUGGAAGGGAAGAUUUAUACUUCCAUGUAGAAAGAAUAGCUACUACAUUGAAUCUUCUAUUAUGAGAAAAUUAAUGAUGAUGCCAAUGUGUGGCAAAAGCAUGACUCCAGUCAACUUCCAUGUGUGCAUGAACAAUGAGGUACAUGUUAGUAUACAUUUUUUGCCACAUCCACAAUAUGGUAGAUUCAUUUAGAGUUUUGAGAAGAUAAUCAGUUCAAAGCAGUUUUUCUCAACAGGAGAGCUUAUGCAAAAGCUUAAGGUCUUGAAGGAGCGAGACUAGAAGGUUAUUUCAUGAAGAGAAGGCUCAACACCAUCUGAUUGCUUUUGGAAGGCUGACCUUAUAGAUUCCCCCACUGUAAGAAGAUAAUUGUACCAUCCUCAGAUUUUUAGUUUAAGAUAACAAUUUCUUUGAGAGAUAUUUGAGAUUUACUUUGAAACAAUUCAGAACCAUUCAGAAAAUAUUAUUAUGGUCAGCUUUCUCAGACAGCCAAGUAUGGAUAAAUUUAUAGAUAUAUGUUUUUUC